rnacentral:lncRNA from 1 species
CUUUUCCAUUGGGUGGUAGUCGAAGUCCACAUCGGUUGCAUCACCUCUUUCGAGCAUGUGGGACAACACAAAUGAAGAAAAAAAGAAAAGAUCUAUACAUCUUUCCUACAAGACCCUACGGUCCCUCUCCCUCUGGUCAGUAACUACUAUUAUUAUACGAAAGACCUGGCAAAUGCCCCGGAGGUGCAGCAUGGGGGGUAACGAUCCUUUAUGCUGUUAAGGGUAGCAACUAGGAUUGGCACAUCAUUUCCAUGUCUCC